rnacentral:tRNA from 1 species
CCUCGGGUAGAUGAGUUGGUUAAGUAUCUGACUUCGGCUCAGGUCAUGAUCUCACGGUUCGUGGGUUCAAGCCCCACAUCGGGGU